CCUACGGGAGGCAGCAGUGGGGGAUAUUGCACAAUGGGGGAAACCCUGAUGCAGCGACGCCGCGUGGGGGAAGAAGUAUUUCGGUAUGUAAAGCCCUAUCAGCAGGGAAGAAGAAAGGACGGUACCUGAGUAAGAAGCACCGGCUAAAUACGUGCCAGCAGCCGCGGUAAUACGUAUGGUGCAAGCGUUAUCCGGAUUUACUGGGUGGAAAGGGAGCGCAGGCGGCACGGCAAGCCUGAUGUGAAAGCCCGCGGCCCAACCGCGGGACUGCAUUGGGAACUGCCGGGCUGGAGUGCCGGAGAGGUAGGCGGAAUGCCUAGUGUAGCGGUGAAAUGCGUAGAUAUUAGGAGGAACACCAGUGGCGAAGGCGGCCUACUGGACGGUGACUGACGCUGAGGCUCGAAAGCGUGGGGAGCAAACAGGAUUAGAUACCCUUGUAGUC
rnacentral:rRNA from 1 species